ensembl:snoRNA
GCAAAAUUUGGUAUUAAAAUACAGACUUUGACCUCUGUGGGCCUCACAUAGUGUACCCAUGCUAGAGUAAACUGCAGCCCAGCCUUCUUAUCGGUGGGCUAUGAGCACUGAGGGGGGUUGUACAGUG